rnacentral:rRNA from 1 species
CGUGGGUAACCUGCCCAAGAGAUCGGGAUAACACCUGUAAACAGAUGCUAAUACCGGAUAACAACAGAUGAUGCCUAUCAACUGUUUAAAAGAUGGUUCUGCUAUCACUCUUGGAUGGACCUGCGGUGCAUUAGCUAGUUGGUAGGGUAACGGCCUACCAAGGCGAUGAUGCAUAGCCGAGUUGAGACGACUUAUCGGCCACUAUUGGGACUGAGACACGGCCCAAACUCCUACGGGAGGCAGCAGUG